GACGAACGCUGGCGGCGUGCCUAAUACAUGCAAGUCGAGCGGACCUCUUCGGAGGUCAGCGGCGGACGGGUGAGUAACACGUGGGCAACCUGCCUGUAAGACUGGGAUAACUCCGGGAAACCGGAGCUAAUACCGGAUACUAUGUCAAACCGCAUGGUUUGACAUUCAAAGACGGUUUCGGCUGUCACUUACAGAUGGGCCCGCGGCGCAUUAGCUAGUUGGUGAGGUAACGGCUCACCAAGGCGACGAUGCGUAGCCGACCUGAGAGGGUGACCGGCCACACGGGGACUGAGACACGGCCCAGACUCCUACGGGAGGCAGCAGUAGGGAAUCUUCCGCAAUGGACGAAAGUCUGACGGAGCAACGCCGCGUGAGUGAUGAAGGUUUUCGGAUCGUAAAACUCUGUUGUCAGGGAAGAACAAGUGCCGGAGUAACUGCCGGCGCCUUGACGGUACCUGACCAGAAAGCCACGGCUAACUACGUGCCAGCAGCCGCAGUAACAC
rnacentral:rRNA from 1 species